rnacentral:rRNA from 1 species
GACAGAGGUCCCGAGCGUUAGGCGGAAUCACUGGGCUUAAAGCGUGUGUAGGCGGCGGCCCAAGUACCUUGUGAAAUCCCACGGCUCACCCGUGGAACUGCUCGGUAUACUGGGUCGCUUGAGCCACUUAGGGGCUACCGGAACAAAUGGUGGAGCGGUGAAAUGCGUAGAUAUCAUUUGGAACGCCAAUGGUGAAAACAGGUAGCUGGGAGUGUGCUGACGCUGAGACACGAAAGCCAGGGGAGCAAACGGG